rnacentral:rRNA from 1 species
GAUGAACGCUGGCGGCGUGCCUAAUACAUGCAAGUCGAGCGAACGGACGAGAAGCUUGCUUCUCUGAUGUUAGCGGCGGACGGGUGAGUAACACGUGGAUAACCUACCUAUAAGACUGGGAUAACUUCGGGAAACCGGAGCUAAUACCGGAUAAUAUUUUGAACCGCAUGGUUCAAAAGUGAAAGACGGUCUUGCUGUCACUUAUAGAUGGAUCCGCGCUGCAUUAGCUAGUUGGUAAGGUAACGGCUUACCAAGGCAACGAUGCAUAGCCGACCUGAGAGGGUGAUCGGCCACACUGGAACUGAGACACGGUCCAGACUCCUACGGGAGGCAGCAGUAGGGAAUCUUCCGCAAUGGGCGAAAGCCUGACGGAGCAACGCCGCGUGAGUGAUGAAGGUCUUCGGAUCGUAAAACUCUGUUAUUAGGGAAGAACAUAUGUGUAAGUAACUGUGCACAUCUUGACGGUACCUAAUCAGAAAGCCACGGCUAACUACGUGCCAGCAGCCGCGGUAAUACGUAGGUGGCAAGCGUUAUCCGGAAUUAUUGGGCGUAAAGCGCGCGUAGGCGGUUUUUUAAGUCUGAUGUGAAAGCCCGCGGCUCAACCGUGGAGGGUCAUUGGAAACUGGAAAACUUGAGUGCAGAAGAGGAAAGUGGAAUUCCAUGUGUAGCGGUGAAAUGCGCAGAGAUAUGGAGGAACACCAGUGGCGAAGGCGACUUUCUGGUCUGUAACUGACGCUGAUGUGCGAAAGCGUGGGGAUCAAACAGGAUUAGAUACCCUGGCCGUCCACGCCGUAAACGAUGAGUGCUAAGUGUUAGGGGGUUUCCGCCCCUUAGUGCUGCAGCUAACGCAUUAAGCACUCCGCCUGGGGAGUACGACCGCAAGGUUGAAACUCAAAGGAAUUGACGGGGACCCGCACAAGCGGUGGAGCAUGUGGUUUAAUUCGAAGCAACGCGAAGAACCUUACCAAAUCUUGACAUCCUUUGACAACUCUAGAGAUAGAGCUUUCCCCUUCGGGGGACAAAGUGACAGGUGGUGCAUGGUUGUCGUCAGCUCGUGUCGUGAGAUGUUGGGUUAAGUCCCGCAACGAGCGCAACCCUUAAGCUUAGUUGCCAUCAUUAAGUUGGGCACUCUAAGUUGACUGCCGGUGACAAACCGGAGGAAGGUGGGGAUGACGUCAAAUCAUCAUGCCCCUUAUGAUUUGGGCUACACACGUGCUACAAUGGACAAUACAAAGGGCAGCGAAACCGCGAGGUCAAGCAAAUCCCAUAAAGUUGUUCUCAGUUCGGAUUGUAGUCUGCAACUCGACUACAUGAAGCUGGAAUCGCUAGUAAUCGUAGAUCAGCAUGCUACGGUGAAUACGUUCCCGGGUCU